rnacentral:rRNA from 1 species
GGAGAAGUCUGACGGAGCAACGCCGCGUGUAUGAAGAAGGCUUUCGGGUUGUAAAGUACUGUUGUCAGGGACGAACCGUAUAUGUGUAAAUAAUGCAUAUACCUGACGGUACCUGACGAGGAAGCCCCGGCUAACUACGUGCCAGCAGCCGCGGUAAUACGUAGGGGGCGAGCGUUGUCCGGAAUUAUUGGGCGUAAAGGGCGCGUAGGCGGCUGUAUAAGUCUGAUGUGAAAGUGCGGAGCUUAACUCCGUAAAGCAUUGGAAACUGUACGGCUUGAGGACAGGAGAGGAAAGUGGAAUUCCACGUGUAGCGGUGAAAUGCGUAGAUAUGUGGAGGAACACCAGUGGCGAAGGCGACUUUCUGGACUGUAACUGACGCUGAGGCGCGAAAGCGUGGGGAGCGAACAGGAUUAGAUACCCUGGUAGUCCACGCCGUAAACGAUGAGUGCUAGGUGUAGAGGGUAUCGACCCCUUCUGUGCCGCAGUUAACACAAUAAGCACUCCGCCUGGGGAGUACGGCCGCAAGGUUGAAACUCAAAGGAAUUGACGGA